AACUCCAGUAGAAAUAGCAUAAAAAUUAUCUAAAUAUAAGAGCCAUAAAUAAAAUAGCAUGCAAUAAUAUCAUACAGUAACUACCAUAAAUAACUACCAUAUGGGAGACACACUCCAAAACACAAAUCAUCUAUGGAUAGCCCUGCCAAGCCUCGCCCAACCCCGGGUGAGGAGUACAAAAAACUCUAGGAGCCCCUAUCCUACAACCCUGAUACUAGACCUCCAGACUUUCCUAUCAAGGGUCAUGUCCNN
rnacentral:lncRNA from 1 species